CAAACAAAUAUCUAAUCAAAAACAAAUUAAAAACUGUAAUAAUUAAAAUAAGCACCAGCAAUGACUACAAUAAGAUAAAUGUAAACAAACAUUUCAAGAAAUAUAUCUUGCAAAAGUUAUAUUUACUAGUCAGCGGUCAAGAUCUCUAUCUGCUCUAUCUAAAUGCCCAAACCAUAUUUCUAACUUAAUUUCUGAAUAAUACAUUACAAUUUGCUAUUUAU
rnacentral:lncRNA from 1 species